UUAAGGCUGAUAUUUCUCAUUUCUUUGCCCUGAUGAAAUAUAUUUUGGACAAUAUAGAUGAUGGACAAAUUUCGAUGAUGGCUUCCUUUCGUAAAAAGAUCAGAAAUACGUUUAUCUUUGCCAGAUUGAGCCAUAAGGUCGUCCAAUACGAUCAAAUUCCGUUGAGAUACGUCCAAGUAAUCUGCGUUGUCGAUGUCUUCGGGGAAACCUUGAUUAAACUCGAUUCCAGGCAUCGUUCUCAUCAUAUCAAAAUAGGAGGGUUGCCACUGACCAUAACACCAGAUGAUACGUUGAGGAGCAGGACUUAUAGUCGUUUGAGCAUUCUCCAAAAGAGAUUUCACCCAUACGGUUUUGCCGCUUUGUGUACACCCAGCUACGAUGCACGUGAAAGGAUGCUGCAU
rnacentral:lncRNA from 1 species